CAAGAACUCACAAAAAAAACUUCCAUCUCUCCCCACCUCCCGACCCACGCCCGCCGGCCUCCCCCCAGAUCCCGCGCGGCGAGCUCGACCCACCACGUUGGCCUCCCCCCGGACCCGCGCGCCCUGCCACCAACCACCUCCCACCACCGACGGCCACCGGCCCCAACGCCUCACCUGCCGCCGCCACCCCCUCUCCCGGCCCAACGCGCCUCCUUGCACCGCCGAACCCCCGCACCAUCGCGCGCCGCCAGAUCCCCGGAGUCCCGCGCGCCGCCAGAUCCCUGGAGUCCCGCGCGCCGCUGAGACCCGACAUCCCAGCGCGCCGCGCCGCGAUUUGGUUCGGUCCUGGCGAGUUUUCUUGGUUGCCGUCGCGGAGGUGGUAAGCGGCUUCCUCUCCAAUGCGGCGUCAGCGGUGUUGAAGCAGCUGUGGUCGCUCAAAUCGACGGUCAAGACAGCGAGUGGAGCCAAGUCCAUGGUCAAGUACGACGGCGGCUACACCGUGGAGACGGUCUUCGACGACAGCAAGCUGGGGAUCGAGCCGUACGCCGUGGAGGUCACCCAGGGUGACGAGCUGCUGGUCAUGGAUUCCAUGAACAACAACAUCUACCAGAUCGCGCUGCCGCUGUCCUGAUGAAGUAAUUUGCACAUGUAAAAGUGGGCAAUUGGGUCUAUAAUUUGUAAGGUGUUCGAUCCAAUUGCGAACAGGAGGAGCUGGAGUACGCGGAGCAGAAUAGCCUCUUCUUCCUAGAGACGUUGGCAAAGAUGGAGAAGACGUCAGAGGAUCCCGGUCGCCGAGCCGGUGUAAUUUUUCUGUGAAAAUCGAAGUUAGUAUGGAUCAGAAAGAAGGAUUUGUGCCUGCAGAGACCUAUGUGCUGCUGGUGCUCGCUACCCGCAUGAACAUAGGAAUGAAGGUCACCAUCAGGCAAGGGAGAAGAUCACAUGAUGUGCAGAAAGAAGGUAAAAUUGCAGGGGACAACCGGUCCUCGCCCGUGCCAUUGGUGUGGUUAUCUCCCAUGAAUGAGCAGUAGUGCUCGCAUGUAGCUCUCCCUCUAUGGUUCUUUAUCCCCUGUUUGUGUUUAUGCUUAACCUUGUAAACAAUUCAAUGUAUGAACUGUACCUCUAUUGCCCAUGCGUGUACAAUGCCUGCUAGAUGAAGCUCAAUGUGCGAAAAAUAUGGUUUUUGUUUA